rnacentral:rRNA from 1 species
GUUUGCCUACGGGGGGCAGCAGUCGAGAAUCAUUCACAAUGGGGGAAACCCUGAUGGUGCGACGCCGCGUGGGGGAAUGAAGGUCUUCGGAUUGUAAGUCCCUGUCAUGUGGGAGCAAAUUAAAAAGAUAGUACCACAAGAGGAAGAGACGGCUAACUCUGUGCUAGCAGCCGCGGUAAUACAGAGGUCUCAAGCGUUGUUCGGAAUCACUGGGCGUAAAGCGUGCGAAGGCUGUUGCGUAAGUCGUGUGUGAAAGGCGCGGGCUGAACCCGCGGACGGCACAUGAUACUGCGAGACUA